UAGAUUUAUCAAACAAUAUUUAAAGCAAAAACCGACUUCAUCAAUCCAUAAAACAAGAAACCAAAUAAUAGUUACUAGUCAUCAUGAUCAUACUUACAAUGGAUUAAUUAUGGGUUGGGUCCAAUGUACGGGCUAGACCCAAUAAUAUGUAUGGUAUAUGGUAUUUUGGGGAACUCACUAAGCUUUGUGCUUACAGUUAUGUGUUUAUGGUACUGCCUGUUGCAACGUGAAGGGUCUGGCGUGACUGUACAACAUCCCCUAGUGUUUUCCACAUUGGCUAUUAUGACAUUUACUAUGAUCAUAAAAUGAUUUAAUUACUAUAACUGGAUUUUGGGACAAAUCAAUUGGAUGGUUUAAAUGUUUUUAAAAUGAAACUUUUACUCAAAAAUUUUGGGAUCUUACACCUUACUUCACAAGCUUCACCAAAAUCAAGAAACCAAUCUCAAGAUCAAGCCACCAAGCUCUUUAUCAUGGGAAGGGGAUAUGGUUUCGAAAUGAAGAGAUAGAUGUUGAAGGAGGUGAACUAAUACAAGAAUUAUGGUGGUUGAAUAUGGGAUAAACCCUAAAAAUCAUGGGCUUGGGAUACAACAGCCACCACGUCAUUGCGUCCUUCUUGCCAUCUCAUGGUGUAUGAAGUGCACAAAUUAUACCUAUCUAGUUUUGAAUUUAUAACCUAACGAACUUAACUAGCUAGAAUGCACGUAGGCAGUGUACCUAGUCGAAUUAAAGAAUCGUCUAGGUAAGUUGGGUGUCGAUCACGGGGAACGGUAUUUAAUUAAUAAAAUAACUACUAAAAGCUAAACUAAGAAAGACAACUAAAAUGAGGGUUUUAUCUAAUUUUACAAGUUCAGAAAAACUUAAAUUAAAAUAACAAACUAAUGACUAAAGUAAACAACUAGAAAGACGAUUUCAAAUCAAGAAUAAUGGAUACUUUCGUUUAGCUUCGAACCCUUCCUGUUUCCUAUGGUUGAUUUCAAGACAAUGGAUUAAUUCUGCUAGCUACCAAAUAAUAGUUACUAGUCAUCAUGAUCAUACUAACUAGCAUAAGUCAAUUUAACAACUUUAAACCUAAUGAUCAUGCAAGUUAAGGAUACUAAAUUGAUUUUAAAGGUAAUUUGGACUUUGAAUGAUAUAAUCUACAGACUACUAUUCUUCUGUUAAGUCUAGUAAUUGAGAAAAUAUUAUGAUCAAAUACUGCUCUUUAACACAAUUAAGCAACUAACUUAUCACCUAUACUAGGAUAUGGUCAAUCUCUAGCUCUAGCAAUUUAAUGGUCAUAAACAACUAGGUAAACCAAGUUCAUGCAACUAACUGUAUUUUAACUACACAAAACUUGAGACAAGGCAGUAAAGAUAGAAAGUUUAACAAUCUAGGUGUAGAUUUAUCAAAUAAUAUUUAAAGCAAAAACCAGCUUCAUCAAUCCAUAAAACAAGAAACCAAAUAAUAGUUACUAGUCAUCAUGAUCAUACUUACAAUGGAUUAAUUAUGGGUUGGGUCCAAUGUACGGGCUAGAGCCAAUAAUAUGUAUGGUAUAAGGUAUUUUGGGGAACUCACUAAGCUUUGUGCGUACAGUUAUGUGUUUAUGGUACUGCCUGUUGCAACGGGAAGGGUCUGGCGUGACUGUACAACAUCCCAUAGUGUUUUCCACAUUGGCUAUUAUGACAUUUACUAUGAUCAUAAAAUGAUUUACUUACUAUAACUGGAUUUUAGGACAAAUCAAUUGGACGGUUUAAAUGUUUUUAAAAUGAAACUUUUACUCAAAAAUUUUGGGAUCUUACACCUUACUUCACAAGCUUCACCAAAAUCAAGAAACCAAUCUCAAGAUCAAGCCACCAAGCUCUUUAUCAUGGGAAGGGGAUAUGGUUUCGAAAUGAAGAGAUAGAUGUUGAAGGAGGUGAACUAAUACAAGAAUUAUGGUGGUUGAAUAUGGGAUAAACCCUCAAAAUCAUGGGCUUGGGAUACAAGAGCCACCACGUCUUUGCGUCCUUCUUGCCAUGUCAUGGUGUAUGAUGUGCACAAAUUAUACCUAUCUAGUUUUGAAUUUAUAACCUAACGAACUUAACUAGCUAGAAUGCACGUAGGCAGUGUACCUAGUCGAAUUAAAGAAUAGUCUAGGUAAGUUGGGUGUCGAUCACGGGGAACGGUAUUUAAUUAAUAAAAUAACUACUAAAAGCUAAACUAAGAAAGACAACUAAAAUGAGGGUUUUAUCUAAUUUUACAAGUUCAGAAAAACUUAAAUUAAAAUAACAAACUAAUGACUAAAGUAAACAACUAGAAAGACGAUUUCAAAUCAAGAAUAAUGGAUACUUUCGUUUAGCUUCGAACCCUUCCUGUUUCCUAUGGUUGAUUUCAAGACAAUGGAUUAAUUCUGCUAGCUACCAAAUAAUAGUUACUAGUCAUCAUGAUCAUACUAACUAGCAUAAGUCAAUUUAACAACUUUAAACCUAAUGAUCAUGCAAGUUAAGGACACUAAAUUGAUUUUAAAGGUAAUUUGGACUUUGAAUGAUAUAAUCUACAGACUACUAUUCUUCUGUUAAGUCUAGUAAUUGAGAAAAUAUUAUGAUCAAAUACUGCUGUUUAACACAAUUAAGCAACUAACUUAUCACCUAUACUAGGAUCUGGUCAAUCUCUAGCUCUAGCAAUUUAAUGGUCAUAAACAACUAGGUAAACCAAGUUCAUGCAACUAACUGUAUUUUAACUACACAAAACUUGAGACAAGGCAAUAAAGAUAGAAACUUUAACAAUCUAGGUGUAGAUUUAUCAAACAAUAUUUAAAGCAAAAACCAGCUUCAUCAAUCCAUAAAACAAGAAACCAAAUAAUAGUUACUAGUCAUCAUGAUCAUACUUACAAUGGAUUAAUUAUGGGUUGGGUCCAAUGUACGGGCUAGACCCAAUAAUAUGUAUGGUAUAUGGUAUUUUGGGGAACUCACUAAGCUUUGUGCUUACAGUUAUGUGUUUAUGGUACUGCCUGUUGCAACGUGAAGGGUCUGGCGUGACUGUACAACAUCCCCUAGUGUUUUCCACAUUGGCUAUUAUGACAUUUACUAUGAUCAUAAAAUGAUUUAAUUACUAUAACUGGAUUUUGGGACAAAUCAAUUGGAUGGUUUAAAUGUUUUUAAAAUGAAACUUUUACUCAAAAAUUUUGGGAUCUUACACCUUACUUCACAAGCUUCACCAAAAUCAAGAAACCAAUCUCAAGAUCAAGCCACCAAGCUCUUUAUCAUGGGAAGGGGAUAUGGUUUCGAAAUGAAGAGAUCAAUGUUGAUGGAGGUGAACUAAUACAAGAAUUAUGGUGGUUGAAUAUGGGAUAAACCCUAAAAAUCAUGGGCUUGGGAUACAAGAGCCACCACGUCAUUGUGUCCUUCUUGCCAUCUCAUGGUAUAUGAUGUGCACAAAUUAUACUUAUCUAGUUUUGAAUUUAUAACCUAACGAACUUAACUAGCUAGAAUGCACGUAGGCAGUGUACCUAGUCGAAUUAAAGAAUCGUCUAGGUAAGUUGGGUGUCGAUCACGGGGAACGGUAUUUAAUUAAUAAAAUAACUACUAAAAGCUAAACUAAGAAAGACAACUAAAAUGAGGGUUUUAUCUAAUUUUACAAGUUCAGAAAAACUUAAAUUAAAAUAACAAACUAAUGACUAAAGUAAACAACUAGAAAGACGAUUUCAAAUCAAGAAUAAUGGAUACUUUCGUUUAGCUUCGAACCCUUCCUGUUUCCUAUGGUUGAUUUCAAGACAAUGGAUUAAUUCUGCUAGCUACCAAAUAAUAGUUACUAGUCAUCAUGAUCAUACUAACUAGCAUAAGUCAAUUUAACAACUUUAAACCUAAUGAUCAUGCAAGUUAAGGAUACUAAAUUGAUUUUAAAGGUAAUUUGGACUUUGAAUGAUAUAAUCUACAGACUACUAUUCUUCUGUUAAGUCUAGUAAUUGAGAAAAUAUUAUGAUCAAAUACUGCUCUUUAACACAAUUAAGCAACUAACUUAUCACCUAUACUAGGAUAUGGUCAAUCUCUAGCUCUAGCAAUUUAAUGGUCAUAAACAACUAGGUAAACCAAGUUCAUGCAACUAACUGUAUUUUAACUACACAAAACUUGAGACAAGGCAGUAAAGAUAGAAACUUUAACAAUCUAGGUGUAGAUUUAUCAAACAAUAUUUAAAGCAAAAACCAGCUUCAUCAAUCCAUNAAUAGUUACUAGUCAUCAUUAUCAUACUUACAUUGGAUUAAUUAUGGGUUGGGUCCAAUGUACAGGCUAGACCCAAUAAUAUGUAUGGUAUAUGGUAUUUUGAGGAACUCACUAAGCUUUGUGCUUACAUUUAUGUGUUUAUGGUACUGCCUGUUGCAACGGGAAGGGUCUGGCGUGACUGUACAACAUCCCCUAGUGUUUUCCACAUUGGCUAUUAUGACAUUUACUAUGAUCAUAAAAUGAUUUAAUUACUAUAACUGGAUUUUGGGACAAAUCAAUUGGAUGGUUUAAAUGUUUUUAAAAUGAAACUUUUACUAAAAAAUUUUGGGAUCUUACACCUUACUUCACAAGCUUCACCAAAAUCAAGAAACCAAUCUCAAGAUCAAGUCACCAAGCUCUUUAUCAUGGGAAGGGGUUAUGGUUUCGAAAUGAAGAGAUAGAGGUUGAAGGAGGUGAAGUAAUACAAGAAUUAUGGUGGUUGAAUAUGGGCUAAACCCUAAAAAUCAUGGGGUUGGGAUACAACAACCACCACGUCUUUGCGUCCUUCUUGCGAUGUCAUGGUGUAUGAUGUGCACAAAUUAUACCUAUCUAGUUUUGAAUUGAUAACCUAACGAACUUAACUAGCUAGAAUGCACGUAGGCAGUGUACCUAGUCGAAUUAAAGAAUCGUCUAGGUAAGUUGGGUGUCGAUCACGGGGAAUGGUAUUUAAUUAAUAAAAUAACUAGUAAAAGGUAAACUAAGAAAGACAACUAAAAUGAGGGUUUUAUCUAAUUUUACAAGUUCAGAAAAACUUAAAUUAAAAUAACAAACUAAUGACUAAAGUAAACAACUAGAAAGACGAUUUCAAAUCAAGAAUAAUGGAUACUUUCGUUUAGCUUCGAACCCUUCCUGUUUCCUAUGGUUGAUUUCAAGACAAUGGAUUAAUUCUGCUAGCUACCAAAUAAUAGUUACUAGUCAUCAUGAUCAUACUAACUAGCAUAAGUUAAUUAACAACUUUAAACCUAAUGAUCAUGCAAGUUAAGGACACUAAAUUGAUUUUAAAGGUAAUUUGGACUUUGAAUGAUAUAAUCUACAGACUACUAUUCUUCUGUUAAGUCUAGUAAUUGAGAAAAUAUUAUGAUCAAAUACUGCACUUUAACACAAUUAAGCAACUAACUUAUCACCUAUACUAGGAUAUGGUCAAUCUCUAGCUCUAGCAAUUUAAUGGUCAUAAACAACUAGGUAAACCAAGUUCAUGCAACUAACUGUAUUUUAACUACACAAAACUUGAGACAAGGCAAUAAAGAUAGAAACUUUAACAAUCUAGGUGUAGAUUUAUCAAACAAUAUUUAAAGCAAAAACCAGCUUCAUCAAUCCAUAAAACAAGAAACCAAAUAAUAGUUACUAGUCAUCAUGAUCAUACUUACAAUGGAUUAAUUAUGGGUUGGGUCCAAUGUACGGGCUAGACCCAAUAAUAUGUAUGGUAUAUGGUAUUUUGGGGAACUCAUUAAGCUUCGUGCUUACAGUAAUGUGUUGAUGGUACUGCCUGUUCCAAUGGGAAGGGUCUGGCGUGACUGUACAGCAUCCCCUAGUGUUUUUCACAUUGGCUAUUAUGACAUUUACUAUGAUCAUAAAAUGAUUUAAUUACUAUAACUGGAUUUUGGGACAAAUCAAUUCGAUGGUUUAAAUGUUUUUAAAAUGAAACUUUUACUCAAAAAUUUUGGGAUCUUACACCUUACUUCACAAGCUUCACCAAAAUCAAGAAACCAAUCUCAAGAUCAAGCCACCAAGCUCUUUAUCAUGGGAAGGGGAUAUGGUUUCGAAAUGAAGAGAUAGAUGUUGAAGGAGGUGAACUAAUACAAGAAUUAUGGUGGUUGAAUAUGGGAUAAACCCUAAAAAUCAUGGGCUUGGGAUACAACAGCCACCACGUCAUUGCGUCCUUCUUGCCAUCUCAUGGUGUAUGAUGUGCACAAAUUAUACCUAUCUAGUUUUGAAUUUAUAACCUAACGAACUUAACUAGCUAGAAUGCACGUAGGCAGUGUACCUAGUCGAAUUAAAGAAUCGUCUAGGUAAGUUGGGUGUCGAUCACGGGGAACGGUAUUUAAUUAAUAAAAU
rnacentral:lncRNA from 1 species